GAGGUGAAGCUGGAGAAGUCUAAGGGGAGGUUUAGUGCAGCCUGGAAGGUCCAUGAUACUCUACUGUGCAGCCUCUGGAUUCACUGUCAGCGACGACUGGUUUGCCUGGGUUUGCCAGGCUCCAAAGAAGGGGCUGGAGAUGGGGGGGGGGCAUAAUUUUUCAUGGUGGUGGUAGCCCCUCUUAUGCAGACACCUUGAAGAAGUGGGUUGGGCCUAACAUAUUCAGAAUCAAUAUUUAAAAAUUCUAAUCCUUGAGUAUGUCACUUUUGACCAAGAAUAUAUGAAAUAUGUUACUGA